rnacentral:rRNA from 1 species
GAUGAACGCUGGCGGCGUGCCUAAUACAUGCAAGUCGAGCGAACAGACGAGGAGCUUGCUCCUCUGACGUUAGCGGCGGACGGGUGAGUAACACGUGGAUAACCUACCUAUAAGACUGGGAUAACUUCGGGAAACCGGAGCUAAUACCGGAUAAUAUAUUGAACCGCAUGGUUCAAUAGUGAAAGACGGUUUUGCUGUCACUUAUAGAUGGAUCCGCGCCGCAUUAUCUAGUUGGUAAGGUAACGGCUUACCAAGGCAACGAUGCGUAGCCGACCUGAGAGGGUGAUCGGCCACACUGGAACUGAGACACGGUCCAGACUACUACGGGAGGCAGCAGUAGGGAAUCUUCCGCAAUGGGCGAAAGCCUGACGGAGCAACGCCGCGUGAGUGAUGAAGGUCUUCGGAUCGUAAAACUCUGUUAUUAGGGAAGAACAAAUGUGUAAGUAACUAUGCACGUCUUGACGGUACCUAAUCAGAAAGCCACGGCUAACUACGUG